GGGCGUGUGGCUCAGUUGGUAGAGCGUUCGCUUAGCAAGUUUCAUACAACGUGCGAAAGGUCCUGGGUUCGAUUCCCAGCUUGUCCA